rnacentral:rRNA from 1 species
GACGAACCGUACGAACGUUAUUCGGAAUCACUGGGCUUAAAGGGUGCGUAGGCGGCGCGGAAAGUUGGGUGUGAAAUCCCUCGGCUCAACCGGAGACUCGACGUCAAACUGCGUGCUCGAGGGAGACAGAGGUGAGCGGAACUUAGGGUGGAGCGGUGAAAUGCGUUGAUAUCCUAAGGAACACCGGUGGCGAAAGCGGCUCACUGGGUCUCUUCUGACGCUGAGGCACGAAAGCUAGGGUAGCGAACGGG